rnacentral:rRNA from 1 species
AGUGGCGGACGGGUGAGUGACGCGUGGGUAACCUGCCCUAUGCAGGGGGAUAACAGUUGGAAACGACUGUUAAUACCGCAUAAGCGCACAGUAUCGCAUGGUACAGUGUGAAAAACGUCCGGGUGGCAUAGGAUGGACCCGCGUCUGAUUAGCUAGUUGGUGAGGUAACGGCCACCAAGGCGACGAUCAGUAGCCGGCCUGAGAGGGUGUACGGCCACAUUGGGACUGAGACACGGCCCAAACUCCUACGGGAGGCAGCAGUGGGGAAUAUUGGACAAUGGGGGAAACCCUGAUCCAAGCGACGCCGCGUGAACGAUGAAGUAUUCGGUAUGUAAAGUUCUAUCAGCAGGGAAGAUAAUGACGGUACCUGACUAAGAAGCACCGGCUAAAUACGUGCCAGCCGCCGC